UGGGAAGUGAUGAAGCCUUUGACUGCUGACAAUACACUGAUCUCUGUCGUAUUCGUACUGGCUGAUCCCG
rnacentral:snoRNA from 2 species